rnacentral:rRNA from 1 species
CCUACGGGAGGCAGCAGUGAGGAAUAUUGGUCAAUGGGCGAGAGCCUGAACCAGCCAAGUCGCGUGAGGGAGUACUGCCCUAUGGGUUGUAAACCUCUUUUGUCGGGGAGCAAAAGCCGGACGUUUCCGGCUGUGAGAGUACCCGAAGAAAAAGCAUCGGCGAAGUCCGUGCCAGCAGCCGCGGUAAUACGGAGGAUGCGAGCGUUAUCCGGAUUUAUUGGGGUUAAAGGGGGCGCAGGGGGAAUUUUAAGUCAGCGGUCAAACCGUGGGGCUCAACCCCAUCCAGCCGUUGAAACUGGGGCUCUAGAGUGUGCGAGAGGUAUGCGGAAUGCGUGGUGUAGCGGUGAAAUGCAUAGAUAUCACGCAGAACCCCGAUGGCGAAGGCAGCAUACCGGUGCACAACUGACGCUGAGGCACGAAAGCGUGGGUAUCGAACAGGAUUAGAUACCCCAGUAGUC